UACGUAGGUGGCAAGCGUUACUCGGAAUCACUAGGCGUAAAGCGCAGGUAGGCGGUUCGGUAAGUCUUUUGUGAAAGCUCCCGGCUUAACUGGGAGAGGUCAAAGGAAACUGCCGGGCUAGAGUGUGGUAGGGGAAACUGGAAUUCCUGGUGUAGCGGUGAAAUGCGUAGAUAUCAGGAGGAACACCUAUGGCGAAAGCAGGUUUCUGGGCCAUCACUGACGCUGAGCUGCGAAAGCUAGGGGAG
rnacentral:rRNA from 1 species